rnacentral:rRNA from 1 species
AUCAUGGCUCAGGACGAACGCUGGCGGCGUGCCUAAUACAUGCAAGUCGAACGCUUCUUUUUCCACCGGAGCUUGCUCCACCGGAAAAAGAGGAGUGGCGAACGGGUGAGUAACACGUGGGUAACCUGCCCAUCAGAAGGGGAUAACACUUGGAAACAGGUGCUAAUACCGUAUAACAAUCAAAACCGCAUGGUUUUGAUUUGAAAGGCGCUUUCGGGUGUCGCUGAUGGAUGGACCCGCGGUGCAUUAGCUAGUUGGUGAGGUAACGGCUCACCAAGGCCACGAUGCAUAGCCGACCUGAGAGGGUGAUCGGCCACAUUGGGACUGAGACACGGCCCAAACUCCUACGGGAGGCAGCAGUAGGGAAUCUUCGGCAAUGGACGAAAGUCUGACCGAGCAACGCCGCGUGAGUGAAGAAGGUUUUCGGAUCGUAAAACUCUGUUGUUAGAGAAGAAACAAGGAUGAGAGUAACUGUUCAUUCCCUGACGGUCACGAAGCCCGA